GUUGUGUGCGUGUGUGGGUGUGUGUGUGUGUGUGUUGGGUGGUUGGUUUUUAUUCUCCGUCCCUCUUCGUUUGUGGAGAGGAGAGAACGUUUCCACCUCUCUCUCUUUCUCUCUCCCUCACUGCAUUUCAUUAUCAUCGGCGACGAGGCUUGAAUUCGGUGCAGAAGAAGAACGAGGUCGGUGAUGCGAGUUCCGGCGGCGGAGGUGGAGAUGGUGGUGAUGGGAGAUUGGUGAGAUUAUGGAGGUUUCUCUCUCAUGGAAUUCGACGCCGGAAUUCCGAUGUCCCAAGCCGCUGUCACCGACGCUCCUUCUUCCUUGUCUCCGCCUUUGGAUGAAGGUCAGGUUCAAAUAUACACUGUGGCAAAUGAACUUGAGGUCGAGUGAAAUAAUGGAAUCCGGACCUUAUCCUAUGCGUGAAGGAGAGCCGGACUGUUCUUAUUACAUCAGAACUGGCCUAUGCAGAUUUGGUGCGGCAUGCCGAUUUAACCAUCCUCCUAAUAGGAAACUGGCUAUUGCCACUUCAAGGAUGAAGGGGGAGUUCCCAGAAAGAAUAGGACAGCCUGAAUGUCAGUACUACUUGAAGACAGCAACUUGCAAGUUCGGAGCGACAUGCAAGUUUCAUCAUCCUAGAGACAAGGCUGGGAUUGCUGGAAGAGUUACCCUAAAUAUUUUAGGCUAUCCACAUCGCCCGAAUGAAACUGAGUGUGCAUAUUACUUGAGGACAGGGCAAUGCAAGUUUGGGAGCACUUGUAAAUUCCACCAUCCUCAACCAUCUAAUAUGAUGGUCUCACUGCGUGGUUCUCCUGUUUAUCCUACAGUUCAUUCUCCAACGACUCCUGGUCAGCAAUCAUAUCCAGGAGGAAUAACAAACUGGCCUUUAUCAAGAGCUUCAUUUAUUCCCAGCCCACGGUGGCAAGGCCCUUCGAGUUAUGCUCCUCUGAUUUUACCUCAGGGUGUUAUGUCAGUCCCAGGCUACACAUACAGUGGUCAUCCAAGUUCAGUUUCAUCUUCCGAGAGCCAGCAGCAAACAGCAGGAAACAAUCAAAUUUAUGGAACUUCACGCCAGAGUGAAGCUGCAAAUUCUGGAUCUCAAGGAACACUUUCUCCAUAUCGUUCUGGUUCCGUACCUGUAGGAUAUUAUGCAUUGCAGAGGGAGAAUGUUUUCCCUGAGAGACCUGGCCAGCCUGAUUGCCAGUUUUACAUGAAGACUGGAGACUGCAAGUUUGGUGCAGUUUGUAGAUUCCAUCAUCCCAGAGAAAGACUACUGCCCGCUCCAGACUGUAUCUUGAGUCCAAUUGGCCUUCCACUACGUCCAGGUGAGCCCUCGUGCAUUUUUUAUUCUCGUUAUGGUAUCUGCAAAUUUGGUCCAAGUUGCAAAUUUGAUCACCCUAUGGGAGUGUUCACAUACAACCUCGCUGCGUCAUCUUCACCUCAUGCCCCAGUUGUUCGACGUUUGUUGGGAUCAUCCUCUGGAGCUGGUGCAUUAGCUUUGUCCUCAGAAGGGCUUGUUGAUGCAGGCUCAGCAAAGCCCAGGCGCCUUUCACUGUCAGAGUCAAGACAGAUGCCUUCUGGUGAUGAUAACAUUGACACAGAGGGAUGAAUGCUCCCUCAGAAAAUGGGAUGAAUGCUCCCUUUUCACAAUGUUUUGAAGGAUAAGCCAGGAUUGUUUGUAAAUUCGUUUCCCAUUGCUGGAGAUGGACAGAGUUCAUGUUAAAAGUUGGACCUGUUCUUCUGAAAAAUGCAUUCAGUUGACAGGCUUGGCUCCUCUGAACUUCACUUUGCUGCAUUGUAUAAAUCUGCAAAUAUUGUUGCAUUUGGUGAACCCAAUGCGAACAUCUCACCUGUUCUAAAAGCCCAUCUUUCUGGAAUCUUUGUGAAGUACCGGACAGCUUGUGGAAUGUUCAGCUCAUUUUGGCAGCUGUGCCAGUCGUCUGUGGCAUAUAUCCAUGAAGAAAUUUUGACAGGUAUGUGUGAUCAUGAAAAUUAGGUCCUUUUAUUCUAGAGAAAUGAUAUACAGGCAUAAAAUUCAUACAAACUUUUCCAUACAGAGUGAUGUGCCUCAAGGUUGAUCGUUGUUUUUAAAACAAAUCACCCAUGAAGAUGAGUUUUAUUUAAAAAAAUGGCAUUGGCACAUCAUUCUUGUGUUGUUUCUUUGUAUGGAUUUUCUGUAUGAAUAGAGUUUUCCUUUGUUCUACUUAAAUUGAAUAAGACAGACCUUUAUGAUAUUUUGAUGAAACUUUGACUUCAUUCAUGAAUCAUGGUAGGAGGAAACUAGGUUUUUAUUGAAUGCACUUUUGCAGUUUCUUGCAGCUUUAAUGGUAAGUGGUUGUAAAUGUGCUUGGAUAAGUGGAUUUUUAUAUAUGUGGGACCUUUUGUCUUUACUUUGAAUGCAGAAAAUUGCCUAUUUAACUUUGA